ensembl:lncRNA
AAGAGCAUGGUGACUUGGCCUUCAGGUUUCUUCUUGAGACCUCUAAAUGCAACCAGUGUCCUGCUCAUAGUCUACGUCCCCAGAAGCACUGAAGUGGUAAUUCUGGAAGCUCAGCUCUGAAUGGUGCGAUUCCAGGCAAAGAGACUACACUCUGGACCACUGUCUAUGAUUCUUUGCCAAGGAGCCUUCACGAUCUUAAGUGUGAGAGACUGGGUGAGUCCAUGGGUCUGGCAGCCAAGAGAAGGGUAUGCUAAACCCUAUUAAGAUUUCCAGGUUUCAGGAUGGUCUGGAUCCCCCUCUUUCUGACUAGAGAAAGAGGUAUGAGGACAAAGGGAAUGCCCUGGCACGCCUGACAGUCUUCUCCUCUGUUACAUGCCCAGCUUCCAUAGCCUGUGUGGAAUAGUACUGGGAACACACUAUCUGUUUGGGCUGCUAUAACGAGGCAAUGUUAUAGACAAUGUACAGAUAUCUCACCCCUGAGGGUCUGGAAGUCACAGAUCAAGAAAGCACAUGCUCAGCGGCUGGUGAAAGGUCUCUUCCUGGUUGUACACAGGUGCUUUUUUAUGCUGGGAGAGGUGAGUGGGGUUCCUUUUUCAUAAGGUCAUGAAACCCAUUCAAGAGAGCCAUCUUUAUGGACCAAUCCUCUCCCAAAGACUGUAUCUCCUAACACCAUCAUUUUGGGGAUCUGGGUUUCAGUGAAUGAACUUUAAGGGGAACACAAACAUUCACAACAUGGCAAGAUUUUCACAAAAGAAAAAGACAUGUUGAGAUAUUUAUCCAUCCAGAAGGGGCUCCUUGGGAUCUGGGUACACUCUAUGGACUACAGCUAAACAUAUAUUGAUAAAAUAGUACCAGCCAUGGAGGUACACGGCUAUGGUGGCAGGAAGGCUGAGGCAGAAGAGUGCAAUGACAUUGAAGACAGUCUGAGACAUGGCAAGCUCUAGGCUACGCAGAGCUUCAAAAUAAGAUGCUGGGUCAGGAAGCCAAGGCAAGCAAAUAGACAAAAAUGGGAAACAAAGGAAAUCGUAACAACAACAAGAACAGGGUGCUCACAGGACAUUUAUAAUGUGGCUUGAAUUGGUAUGUGUACAGCAGCUGGACAUCCUGUGAUGGACGCUGGAGAAAAUGGAGCAGCCAACAUCUCCUGGAUGUUGGUCAUAGUCUCAUUUUCAGUGCACCCCAGCCACUGAGCAGUAACUCAGCUUUACCCUGCUCCCAGGAUUCCCUGAGAAGCCCCACCCCCAAUUCUCUUAUGGAAGCCGGUAGCUCUGAGACUAAGCAGUGGUCAGCUUCUUUCUCCUGGAUGCUGCCAUGAAGCACAAGUGGUGAGGAGUCAAAGGCUCAGAAGGCCACAGCAGAAGGAAGCCCCCACCCCGAUGGAGAACUACCAGUGUCCUUUAAGAAAAGACAGUGCCUCUGUUGCUCCCAACUUCUGGUCAGAAGAAAUGUCUCCUUUCUUAGUCAAAGCAAUGUUCCAGCGAUGAGAAGGCCAGUUCCCUGGUCUACAUAAAGCCCUAAGGAAGAAACUCCCCUUCAGGCUUCUCCUACCAUCCCUUUCACAGUGUGGUUAAGGAACUGAGGCCAAAGGACCAGGACAACCAUUUUCCUACCCAGUCAACAGCUUCACUCCGCUGUGACCAAGGCAAAGGUGCCUUGGCUCUCACAGGUCUUCUAGAGACCAGGAGAGAGCAGCAAAAUCCCAUGGAGCUGGAGUCGCUGGCUGUUGUGAG